rnacentral:misc_RNA from 1 species
UAAAGGGAGACCUACCCCUUCGUGUUUGAGCGAUGUCUCAAGCAGAAGUUGGUCAUCUCAAGGUCGGUGAGAGUUGGAUGCUUGGCUUUCAAACUUGUCUAGUUCAUCAAUACAUAAGACACAACACAACAACUCAUCUAAACAUCUAGUUAAUCUAGUGAUAUGGAGAGCCUGCUGGAUUGUGAAUCCAGUGCGAGAACCAAGAAAACUGCAUAGUGAAGUUGUCAGGUAGAAAUACACAGACACCAAUGUAAAUGAACUAAGACUGAUUGAGCAAUCAAUCAAGU